rnacentral:rRNA from 1 species
CCGCCGGCGACCGGCGCACGGGUGAGUAACACGUAUGCAACCUGGCCGUGACAGAUGGAUAACCGGGAGAAAUCCCGCCUAAUACAACAUAAUGCCGGGAGGGGACAUCCCCUGCCGGCCAAAGGGGCGACCCCGGUCACGGAUGGGCAUGCGGCGCAUUAGGUAGUCGGUGGGGCAACGGCCCACCAAGCCGACGAUGCGUAGGGGUUCUGAGAGGAAGGUCCCCCACAUUGGAACUGAGACACGGUCCAAACUCCUACGGGAGGCAGCAG